ensembl:misc_RNA Metazoa_SRP Metazoan signal recognition particle RNA
GCCGGGCGCGGUGGCUCACGCCUGUAAUCCCAGCACUUUGGGAGGCUGAGGCAGGCGGAUCACCUGAGGUCGGGAGUUCGAGAGCAGCCUGACCAACAUGGUGAAACCCUGUCUCUA